AUCCUUUUGUGGUUCAUAAGUAUGGUGACUAAAUAUUCGCACAAUUUUGUGAUGUGUGCCUCCCUCAAAAUUUGUUAUCACAUCAACACAUUCUUCAUCUGAUA